UGGGGAAUAUUGCGCAAUGGGCGAAAGCCUGACGCAGCGACGCCGCGUGGGUGAUGAAGGCCUUCGGGUCGUAAAGCCCUGUCGGGAGGGACGAAACCUCGACGACCUAAUACGUCGUCGACCUGACGGUACCUCCUAAGGAAGCACCGGCUAACUCCGUGCCAGCAGCCGCGGUAAUACGGAGGGUGCAAGCGUUGUUCGGAAUCACUGGGCGUAAAGCGCGUGUAGGCGGCUUCUUAAGUCUGGUGUGAAAGCCCGGGGCUUACCCCCGGAAGGGCACUGGAGACUGGGAGGCUUGAGUACCGGAGAGGAGGGUGGAAUUCCUGGUGUAGCGGUGAAAUGCGUAGAUAUCAGGAGGAACACCGGUGGCGAAGGCGGCCCUCUGGACGGCUACUGACGCUGAGACGCGAAAGCGUGGGGAGCAAACAG
rnacentral:rRNA from 1 species